rnacentral:sRNA from 1 species
AUACUAUUGCUGUCCAAAGACAGCAGGUGCAGCUAUUGCUGCUUAAAGUUUAUUCGCCUGCCGAGGAACGAGCAUAAAUUAUUCUGUAAUUUUGUGCCUUUCUCUCGGUUUGUGGAGAAAGGCUUUUUUGUUAUU